rnacentral:lncRNA from 1 species
GGGGCUUUUAUGUCCUUGUGUGGGGGUGGACAGGAGAAAAAGCUCCUGGCACUGCAGUCAAGGUGCAAAGAGGGACACGGGAAAGAGCAGGUUGGUGGCUGGGGCAGGUGCUCGUCAUAACCAUCACUGAAAACUGUGUGUGCUGAGAACCUGGGUUCAAUUUCUAGUACCUACAUCCAUCCAGAACUGCAGCUCUAACUCCAAGGAUCUGACUCCCUCGUCUCUUCUCCCAGGGCAUCAGGCACACACAGCACUCAGAGCCAGCCAGUGAGGGAUUCAAAGGCCUACGGGGGAAACUUGGCAGACAUGGGACCUCAGCUAACUCCCAUAAUCUCCCUGAGGAUCAGAUUUUCCAAUUUAGUGGACUACAUAAGGCUCCCAGAUGUCACUCACUGAGGAGUUACAGAUGCUGGACACACCUCUGCAGCCUGUCAGUGUUUGGAUUUCAAAUGCUGGUCAUGUCCCAGUGGCUCUUUCAGACAUCACACUGGCUACUACGUAUCCUGUCUCUCUCUGUUCCCCCUGCAGACUCUGGCUCCUGCCAGGUUUCUGCCUCAAAGAAUACGGGAAGGUUCUGAUUCGGUUUCUUUCCCAUGGUCUAGAGGUGUUCAGGUUUCAGUAAAUGGUCCCAUGAUUCUUGCUCUGUAUUCUCCGAGGGUGCAAUCCAGGAAAGGCUAGGAGCCACAAAGCCACUGCCUCAGCCCCAGGACUUUUUAAAAAGAUGUCUUGUCCCACUUUGGUGGAGAGAUGAGAAGAGAGUGGUCCUAGUAUCUCCCCUCCCUACUACUGUACUCAAAUGUUGCCUCUCUUCUUCCCUUCUUUUUCCCCCUCUGUCUUUUCAAAAUGUCUGUCACUGAGAGCACAGUGCCAGUUUUCCAUGGCUCUGGUCCCUCCUGCUCCCGAGCACACCAACCCCUCAGGGACUGUUCUUUUUCCUGUUCUGGUCUAUUUGAUACUACAGGACGCGUAGAACAUCUUCAGUGUUUUUCAGAGUUGAUCAACAUGUUGAUUUUUAUAAUCAACCAUGCUUUGCGUAAAUACGUAAAAA